GUUUUCCUGUGGCUCAGUUGGGAGAGCAUUGUGCUAAUAAUGCAAAGGGCGUGGGUUCAAAUCCCAAGCAAAUG